CUUCCUCCCGGGGCUCGGCUGCGGGCGGGGGUCCCACAGUGACUUCCCCCCCACAGGGCCCCUUCCGAGUUGCCCAGCGCCCCUUUCCACCAGCCCUGAGGCGGCCGAUGGUAUCUGAGUGGGCGGGGAUCGCGCUGGCGCCUCCUUUUGCGCAGCCCUGGAUUCAGGAAAACUUCUACGGAACCAAAAGAAAAAUGGAUCUGGAUCAACAAUCAAGGUAGUCGCUCUCAGGUGGAGUGAAGAAUCCAGAACCAGAACUCCUGUUUAGCCAAGUGGCUCGACCAGAUUUUUGUGCUAUGUUUCCUGGGAUGAAAGAAGUAGGAAUUCAUCUCUUGCUACUCCCAGACACAACCGCUACAGUUGAGAGUUCUUUUUCAUCAUUUAAUAUAAUUUUGUGUUCUGAAAGAAGUUGCCUUCUGCCUGAUCAUAUGAAUGAACUAAUGAGCAUAUCAAUUGAAGGAAUGGAAGUACCAGACACACAAGCCACCAAAGAUGAACGCAUUACAUUCAAGAAGUUCAUUAACAGAGUUGUGCAAAAUUAGAACAAGAAACCAAAAAGGAUGUAGACGUAGUGCCUCAUAGAAGGCUUGAGUAGCCAACUUUAAUUUGUGUGAUU